rnacentral:rRNA from 1 species
CAGUCGCCGCGGGAAUACGAAGGGUGCAAGCGUUAAUCGGAAUUACUGGGCGUAAAGCGUGCGUAGGCGGUGAGUUAAGUCUGCUGUGAAAUCCCCGGGCUCAACCUGGGAAUGGCAGUGGAUACUGGCUCGCUAGAGUGUGUCAGAGGAUGGUGGAAUUCCCGGUGUAGCGGUGAAAUGCGUAGAGAUCGGGAGGAACAUCAGUGGCGAAGGCGGCCAUCUGGGACAACACUGACGCUGAGGCACGAAAGCGUGGGGAGCAAACAGGAUUAGAGACCCCGGUAGUCCCUGUCUCUUAUAC